AGUCACCACCGUGGCCUGCGACGAAAUGGCGAAAAGUCUUUUGAAGACAGCCUCUCUGUCUGGAAGGACAAAAUUGCUACAUCAAACAGGAUUGUCACUUUAUAGUACAUCCCAUGGAUUUUAUGAGGAAGAAGUGAAAAAAACACUUCAGCAGUUUCCUGGUGGAUCCAUUGACCUUCAGAAGGAAGACAAUGGCAUUGGCAUUCUUACUCUGAACAAUCCAAGUAAAAUGAAUGCCUUCUCAGGUGUUAUGAUGCUACAACUUCUGGAAAAAGUAAUUGAAUUGGAAAAUUGGACAGAGGGGAAAGGCCUCAUUGUCCGUGGGGCAAAAAAUACUUUCUCUUCAGGAUCUGAUCUGAAUGCUGUGAAAUCACUAGGAACUCCAGAGGCAAGUGUUAUAUGAAUUAUGCAUUAGAUUCUACAUGUUUAUUAGACAUGCAUGGCAGAUACAUUUAUAUUUUACUAAUGGUUAUGAUGACUUAAUAACUUUCAAAGGAUUAUGGGGAUU
rnacentral:sRNA from 1 species